CUAACAAUUAGGGAGGGAAAGGGAUUGUCUUACGGUUGCGUAGAAAUUAGUGGCAAACAAUUAGAACACAGCCUGAAUCUUCUUUUUUGUAGACCAGUUAUUUCAUUCAUAGAACUCUCUAUUGAUAAGUCACUUUUUUCUACAGACCAAAUGAAAAUCUGUGUACUGCUUUGGUUCCUUUCCUCUCGCCCAGCCUUCACAUUCAAUCCCUCCACAACCUCUGAGGUUGCUACUUAUGAGUGUUCUUCCCACUUUCCCUGCAGAGCCUUAGUUCCUGUCGCUGCCAUUUCUGCUGACUUGUAACAGCCUGCUAAUGAAUUUUCAGUAUCUCCUUCACUCUUCUUCAGAUUAUUGCACACAGAAACCUCAGUUGCUUCUGGAGAUUUGGGAUUCUCAGGAAGCUGGGAAGCAGGAAAAGUUCCUCAGAGUUGCAGCCUCUUUCAGAGACACCCAAGUUCUCUUCCCAGUACGAUCUAGAACCAUAUGACUUCGGACUCUUCCCCAAAGUCAAAAUGACCAUAGGAAGUACAUGCUCUAAAUGGAUUUAGGACAUCAAGGCAGCCACAACUAAAGUCAUGAAAGAGAAUUUCAGAAGAGCUUCAAAAAAUGGCAAGAAUGUUUUCCAUUAGAGAAGGAUUUCCAUUAGAGAAGGUCUUUUGGAGAGAGGAGAGAAUGACACACAGAACAAAAUAUCAGGGCUCUGCUGGCUCUGCACCUGCCUGCACCCAGCCCACCUCUCCUAUCAUUCACCUCCGGAUUUGACCUGCUCAGCCCCUCUGGUCUCCUUGGUCUUCUUCAAACAGCAUUAAGAAGAUCCAGGAGCUCGGAUAAGUUUGUGUUGGAGCCAAAAUGGAGAACCCACUAAUUCAAGAAAUGAAAGAUUUGGGGUGAAAUUAGUUCAACAGACUGUGCAUUUAGAAAAUUGCACUAAGCUCUGCUUUAUUUAAGUAUUGCCCACACAGACUAUGUAAUGUCAACUGUCAUGAGAAAAAUGUCCCUUUUCCCACAAUAGGAUGAUUACAGAGUUCUUGAAAUAAACAUCGUAUCAAUGUUAAGAGGAGAGGAAGAAAAAUGAGGACAUAGUUAAGGAUAUUAGAAAAAAGUAUAAGAUUUUAAAUAUGCAGUUUUUAUGCAUUUUUAAAAAUAAAGAAAAUAUUGAAAGGAAAGAAUAAAUCUCUCUAGGUAUAAACAACAUAGCCAGAUUUCUGCUCCUUAAGAGAAAUUAAGCAACAAAGCAUGUUGAUAUUAGCAGUUCAAGAGCAGAGGACCAAAGGAGAACACAAAAGUAAAGGAAAACUUUAAAAAUUUAAAAAAGAAGGAGGCGAACAAGAAGAGAAAGAAGAACAAGA